rnacentral:rRNA from 1 species
CCCUUAGAUGUUCUGGGCCGCACGCGCGCUACACUGAUGCAUUCAACGAGUUUCUUCCUGGUCCGAGAGGAAUGGGUAACCUUUUGAAAGUGCAUCGUGAUAGGGAUAGACUAUUGCAAUUAUUGGUCUUCAACGAGGAAUUCCUAGUAAGUAUGUGUCAUCAUCACGCACUGAUUACGUCCCUGCCCUUUGUACACACCGCCCGUCGCUCCUACCGAUUGGGUGAGCCGAUGAAACUCUCGGAUGUAGGCUAUUCAUAGCCCGCAGAAGAGAUUUGAAUCGUAGCGCUUAGAGGAAGGAGAAGUCGUAACA